AGGCGCGUAGCUCAGGGGUAGAGCGCCGUCAUGACAUGACGGAGGUCGACGGUUCAAAUCCGCUCCGCGCCUACCA
rnacentral:tRNA from 1 species